UACGGGGGGGGCAAGCGUUGUCCGGAAUUAUUGGGCGUAAAGAGCUCGUAGGCGGUGUGUCGCGUCGGCCGUGAAAACCUGCAGCUUAACUGUGGGCGUGCGGUCGAUACGGGCAUCACUGGAGUUCGGCAGGGGAGACUGGAAUUCCUGGUGUAGCGGUGAAAUGCGCGGAUAUCAGGAGGAACACCGGUGGCGAAGGCGGGUCUCUGGGCCGAUACUGACGCUGAGGAGCGAAAGCGUGGGGAGCGAACAGG
rnacentral:rRNA from 1 species